rnacentral:rRNA from 1 species
UACGGAGGUGGCAAGCGUUGCUCGGAAUCACUGGGCGUAAAGGGCGCGUAGGCGGUGAGGUAAGUCGGGUGUGAAAUCCCUCGGCCCAACCGAGGAACUGCGCCCGAGACUGCUUCUCUUGAGUCCCGGAGAGGAAGAUGGAAUUCCCGGUGUAGCGGUGAAAUGUGUAGAGAUCGGGAGGAACACCGGUGGCGAAGGCGGUCUUCUGGACGGUGACUGACGCUGAGGCGCGAAAGCGUGGGGAGCAAACAGG